AAUUUCCUCACCUGGCCUUUCACCUCAUUCCAGCAAUGUGAGAACAUCUGCAUGUCAGACACCAUUUUAAACUGGGCUAAGUAUGUCUUUGUAACUGGAUGACCAUUUUAAGCCUGCCUGAACAAAGCUGCUGUAUCUGUUGCUCUUCAACAAGUAUGCUGAGUGAGUAAGUGCUAUUUUUAAUUUUUACAAGACUGUUUGCGUGGUUAUUUUUUUAUGUUGGAGGGACAGGGGAAAUGCCAGAAAAAAUUAGUCUGCCUUAAAGCAUCCUGGAUUACUUAAACCAAAAGGCUAAAACCAGCCUAUCAAAGCUUCCCUUUUAAAUGGCGAAGGGAUGCACUCUGCUGAACACACAAACAUGAGGAAGGAAGGAUAAUACCUAGUAUAUCCUCUCCUAGCAUCUAGCAAGAAAGAGUGUUCCCCAAACACUUCUCCCCCUCUCCAAAUUAUCCUCACAACAAUUCUGUGAGGUAGCUUAGGCUGAGAGACAGUGAGUGGCCCAAAGUCACCCAGUGGGAUUCAUGGCUGAGCAGGGAUUUGAACCCAAGUCUCUCCAGCACUCUAAUCAAUACUCCACACUGGCUGUAUAUCCUAAAGACACUGCAGUCUCCACUGACCUUCAUUCCAGGAAAACCAAACCUUAGAAAAAGCACAGGAAGUCAGGGAGUCUCUUGCCGCUCAGAGAUUUGGGUGCAAGCAGCCAUUGGGAAGGGCCAUAGCUCAGUGGUAGAGCAUCUGCUUUCCAUGCAGAAGGUCCUAGGUUCAAACCCUGGCAUCGCCGGGUAGGGCAGAGAGAGACCCCUGCCUGAUACUCUGCAGAACCAUCUGCCAGUCACUGUAGACAAUACUGAACCAAUGGUCUGACUGAGGUAUAGGGCAGCUUCCUAUGUUCCUAAUGCAUAGUAUUCAGCACCAUCAAUGUGCAUUGCCACAAGGUUCUGGGUUUAGUCUGAGAGACAAGGGAAGGAUGUUUAUUGCUUUACACGAAUCAGCUCUUUAGAUCCAUUGUUGAAAUGCUGAGCUUCUGAAAAGAUGCGAGGUGCACACAUUCAUUCACAACAUUCUUAAGUGUGGAAAACAUGCAUUCCUUCAUGCAAUUAUGGCGACAGAAAGCAACGUUUUAAAUACUACAUCAGAAGAAUCUUUAUUUGAAUCAGCCACUAGCCAUAGCAAUAAAAUGUACUGAAGAUAGAGAUGAAAACUUAACUACGCAAAAUACAUUCUGGAGGUUUACAUCAAUAAUCAAACAACAGAUCUUAUUCUAAUUGCCCCUGCUAUUUUUUCCCCAGUUUUUGCUGUCACUUGAUUAUCUUGAUCUGCUAGAAGAAAGAACACAGUAGCACGUGGACAUAACCAGUUUUCCAGCGGAAUAUUUUGAAAUUGACCCUCAAGUACAGCUGAAGGCAGCAUAUUUAAUCUUGUGUAGGUGAAAGCGCAUCUUUAUUUUGGAAUUGUUAAAUUUUUCAAAUAGAGUGCCAACAUGUCAAAAUGACUAGGUGGAAAAUAAUCAUAUCAUACAGAAAGUCACAAUAUAAAAUAGUGGUAUGUAAGUAGGGAGUUCUCCACCCCUUUGUGAGACAAAAGUACCUGAAAUUCCACUCCAGGGUUCACUGGAGUCUCUUAGGAGCUGAUCCUUUACCAUGGUGUCAAUCAUCUUUCAUAUUGAUAGGUUUCAAGUCUAUAUGUGGCAUGUGUGAACAGCAUGAGAUCUUGUUUUCAAGUGUUUGGCUUCAAAUAGAUUUAAAGCAUUAGGCCUGAAAGUAUGCAUGCUUUGUUUUGUGGGGGAGAGUACAGUGGUACCUCAGGUUAAGUACUUAAUUCGUUCCGGAGGUUCGUUCUUAACCUGAAACUGUUCUUAACCUGAAGUACCACUUUAGCUAAUGGGGCCUCCUGCUGCUGCCACGCCGCUGAAGCAUGAUUUCUGUUCUUAUCCUGAAGCAAAGUUCUUAACCUGAAGCACUAUUUCUGGGUACACAGCCAGAGAAAUCCGGAAAAAAAUGUUUCCUGUUCUCCAGCAUUGCACAGAGAAAUGCACAGAGAAAUCUGGAAAGAUCAGCUUCAUCAUGACGAAAAUUUCCUGUUCUCUGUGGGAAAUGAAACUUUAGACUCUACUAAAAUUCUUCUGUGUAAGAAGCAUGCUAUCAAGGCAGGGAAGCUCGCCGCCUCCCCAGCUUCCGACAGAUGAGGUGUUUUAGAUCCAAGACAAAAGCCCUUGCCAUCUUUCCUGGGCUUGGGGAUCAGAACCAGGCUCACACAUGGGGCAGCGAUCUGGAAACGCUUGGCCACAGAAAUGUGCUUGGGUGCAAGCCAGCCUCAGCCCUAGGCAAAUUCCCACCAUGUGCAAAGAUUCCUAGCCAAAACUGCAAUCUGUGCGAAGUGAGGAAGUAUGAAGUGAUGAGCCAUUCCUGGGUCAGAGAGAACACGGACAAGGGAACAUGCAAAAACACCCUCCCCGGCUAAUUCAUUCCUUUAUUUUUGUUUCCACUUGAGGAAGGUUUUGUUCACUUUCUGUUGGUUUCGUGACUGUAGCAAUUUACAAACUUUCUGCCAAGAAGCCCUGGUGAUCAGUGAAAGCAUAUCAGGAAUUCUUCAUGAGAUAAUUAGGAGCAACGGACAGACAUUUCUCAUGGAAUGCACACAUACAUGUGUGUGCAUGCAGAUGUAUUCUAGGGCAAGUUUACACAGGACAAUGGUUAUGCCCCAGAGGCCUGUCAGGUACCUUGAGUGGGUGGUCUGAAUAAUACUGGGCUCAAAAUCAACCAGGAAUUACAACUUCAGAAAUCCAAUGCAUUGUGUUCACCAAGUGCAUAUUUACCGCCCCCAUACACCCCCCCCCAAAAAAAAUAUCAAUUGACAACAACAAUAGCAGCCAAGGCAAAACUAAAAAACCUACAUUGCUGGCUGGAGAGUACUGAUUUGUUUCUCUCUCUUUUUGCCAAUUAUUUUGAUAAAAAUUCCAAAUUAUUACAAAUUGUUGCCAAAUUAAUACAAUUUAAUACAAUUUUCCAAAACCAGUUUCCUACUACUGUCCUUACAAGAUAAAUUUGUUUCUUCCGUCUGUGUGUCCCAGCUGUUGGGAACAACAACAAAAUGACAUUUCUCUCCCAAAUAAGGCUACUGAGAUGAAGAAACCAAGCCCAGAAUGGGAUUUUGCAUGAAAGGACCGUGAGCUCAGUUCAUAGCUGGUACUGGAAACAAAUACAUUCCUGGCUCUGAAUGUAUGCAUGAGCUACCCUGCUCUUUAAUUCCAAGUGGUUCCUGGUGUAGGUUCAUUCCAAAUGUGUUCUAGAUAUUGGUAGAUCUUUUGGUCAUGAUGAAAAACAAAGUACUGUAGAUCUAACAAGUCUGAAAUCAGCCAGCUCCUGUUAAGAACAUAAGAAGACCCCUGCUGGGUCAGGCCCAAGAGGGAGGCCCAUCUAGUCUAGCACUCUAUUCCCACAGUGGCCAACCAGAUGCCUGAGGGAAACCAGCAAGCAGAACUGAAGCCUUUCAUAGGACAGAGGCUCCUCCCCUCCCCAGAUGCUGCUUCUAGGGGUGAAGUUAAGGCCUCACUCAUUUCCUCAAUCACAUAAUACCAGCGUACUGGAAGCAAUUAUUCUUCAACAUCAACUUUGUUGGACUGGUCAUGUUGUGUGGAUGCCUGAUUAUCGUCUUCCAAAGCAACUACAGUGGUGCCUCACAAGACGAAAUUAAUUCGUUCCGCGAGUUUUGUUGUCUUGCGAUUUUUUCGUCUUGCGAAGCACGGUGUCGGGAAAGUUUUGGAAAAGCUUCAAAAAUCACCAAAGUCUUUAAAAACCUCAAAAAAGGCUACCACACCGUGUUCUAUGAGUUGCUCCUCGAAGUCAAGUCGCAACUGUAUUAAUGGUGUUAAGAAAUAGGAAACAAACUUGCAAGACGUUUCCAUCUUGCGAAGCAAGCCCAUAGCGAAAAUCGUCUUGCGAAGCAGCUCAAAAAACAAAAAACCCUUUCGUCUAGCGAGUUUUUUGUCUUGCGAGGCAUUCGUCUUGCCAGGUACCACUGUACUCUUUUUCCAACUUAAGAAUGGAAAGUGUAAUGCCGGUGGACAACAAAAGAGGUUCAAAGAUGCUCUCAAGGCAAAUCUAAAAAAAAUGUAGUAUAACUGGGAAACACUGGCCUGCAAGCACUCCAAUUGAAGAACAGCCUUUCCCAAAGGUGCCAUGGGCUUUGAAGAUGCUCGAACUCAGGAGAAAAGGGAAAAACGUGCUAAGAGGAAGGCACGUCUGGCAAAUCCUCACCAUGAUCAAUUCCUACCCGGAAACCUAUGUCCUCGCUGUGGAAGGACAUGUGGAUCCAGAACUGGCCUCCACAGCCACUUACGGACUCAUUGUUAAAACCAUGUUUAUGGAAGACAAUCUUACUUGGCUACGAGUGAUUGCCAAAGUAGAAGAUUCAUUCAUUCAUUCAUUCAUUCAUUCAUAAGAUUUCUUCCUUACCCUUCACCAUAGGGUCCCAGGGUGGGUUACAGUAGCAUAGUAUGCAAUGAAAAAACCAGAUAAAAAAAUUCAGCUGCAAAGCAAGUACAACCAUUCUAUAUGGAACAGAAGAUUAUACAUUCAAUAAAACAAAUUUGUCAAAGGCCAGGAGCUAUGAUGCAAUAGUCUCUUAACAAUCUCUUCUGCUUGGUAAGUACUAAUACAAGAGCCCUCCUCAUAGAAAUGUGAACUUCAGAACACAUCCCAGGAUACUCUCCAAUGUGUGUGGCUUCCCUCCAUGGUACACUUGCAUUGCAGUAGAGCUGGUAGGCCAGACACUGGUCUUCCUGCUCAGUUGGCCACUUGAGUGGGUGGGUGGUGCCACACACCUGUCCAUCACCUAACAUCACCCUAGCAGCAGGUGGCCCUUCUUUUUUCCUUUGUAGUGCAGCUUGAGCACAGCUGAUCCCAAAGAGCAUCCUGUCUCUGUCGAUAAGCUGAUUGAAAGUGACAGCAAGUCUCCCCUGCUAAAGAGUGUUAAGGCUCAUGAUUGUUCAUUGGCAGCUGUGCCUCUACCUGCCCAACAUCUGAAGUCACUUAUUAUGUCAGGUGUAGAGUAGAAGGUGGGAUCUGGUUUGGGGAAAAUGGUUCACAGGCCAAAUUGGGACCCAUGUCUGGCCUGAUUAAGCCCAAAGGCCAGAUGUUCCCCACAUACUGUAUAACACACUGCAGUAAUCAAACCAAUAGGAUACUGGAGCACAGAUGAUCUUCUGUGCCACAGAGAUCCCAAGAGCCUCAAGUGAUAGCAAUGGAACCAGAAGUACCCUCAAGCUGCACAUCUGCUUCUUCCAAGGGAGUGUAACCCCAUCAAGAGCAGGAAACCUCCCACCCAUCUGGUCUGGGGAACCAGCCACUCACAGUGGCUCAGUCUUAUCUGGACUGAGCUUCAGUUUGUUGGCUCUCAUCGUCUAUUACUGAGGCAAGUCCAGCACAUCCAUUGCCACACCUGCAGAUGUAAAGGAGGAGAGCUGUGUGUCCUCAGCAUAUUGCCGAUAACAUACUCCAAAACUCUGGAUGAACCCACUCAGUAGUUUCAUGUAGAUGUUGAACAGCAUAGGGGAUACAACACAAAGGAACCCCACACUGAAGGCUCCAGGGGGGGUGAAGAGCACACCCCAAGCAUCACCCUCUGGAAACGACCAUCCAAUGCAAUGCCACCCACCUGCAACUCAGACAGUCGUUCCAGAAGGGUACUAUGGUCGAUGGUAUCAAAAGUUAUUGAGAGGUCAAGGAGAAUUAACAGGGGUGUAUUUUCCCUGUCUCUCUCCCAACAGAGGUCAAGCAAGGCAGGUUCUGUGCCAAAACCUGGACCUAAAUGCCACCAAUACCCUGACCAUUGUGUCCUCCACAACCAUGGGCAGGAAAAGGGUGGAUAUGGAUGGAGAUGGAUGCCAAUUACCUUGAACACCAGUACCCUUCCCUGAAUUCAGGGUAUUCCCCCUGGGCUUCAUUUCCAAAGGGGAAGGGGUUCCAUAAACUGCUACCUGCUCUGCCUCCAUUCUAUGCUGACCAACUAGGCACACUGUAUGAAUGCUAAGGAAGCCCUUCCCCAGUCAUGUCCUCACAACUACCACCCAGAUACCCGUGGGAAACCUACCAGCAGGACCUGAGCACAAGAGUGUUCUGCCCUCCUGCAGUUUCCAGCAAUGGGUGGGUAUUCAGAAUCAUUACUGCCUCUCAACAGUGAAGACAGAACAUAGGAUAGUGGCCAUUGAUAGCCUUAUCUCCCACCCCCGGUGAAUUUUAUCCAAAUCUCUUCUAAAGUCAUCCAAGUUGGUGGCCAUCACUGCCUCCUGUGGGAGUAAAUGCCAUCGUUUAAGUUAGUUAAACUAAGUUUGCUUACCAUAGUUUAAUUAAGUUGAACUUAGUUCUCCAUAGUUAAUGCCCUCUUGGCUUUUAGAUAUCAAGAAGGUUCUACAACUGCAGCCUCACCUCUCUCCCAUCUCCCACUAGGCAUCAGGAGUUGACCUCCUUAGAACCAACUUCCCUGGCAUUGGAGGUGUGUCUUCUAGAGACCCAGGUCAUGCCACCUUCUGCCAGUGCUGGGCUUGUUGCCUCGGCAACCAUGGCAGUGGUACCACUCUUCAGUGGUCAUGGCCAUCCUUCCUGGGAUUUUGUAAAAUUAUUAUUUAUUCAGUUUACGAGUCACCUAAUUAAAGCAAAUAUAUAUUCUCCAGGCAACACACACAGUAAAACAGUCAAAAUUAAAACAAGCCACACAAAAACUCAAUAAAACCGUAAAUCAAUGCAACCAACCCAGCAGCUGAUAAAAGUCAGCCGUAAAUCCAGGCACAAAUCAAAAGUCCAGUAACCAAUCCAGCAAAUUGUAUCCAUGCCUGAUUGCUGAGAUCUUGGGAGGGAGUCUCAGUUCAUGGAUCCCCAUGGCUCAGCUUCACAGCUUAUCUCCACUGGGAGCUGUGUGUUCCGUACUGUGGGUCUGACUCCUGAGUUUUCGGGAGAAGAGCAGGUUACAGAAUGUACUAAAUUGCUUAAAAUCAAAGCUCGUUUUUAGUAGGUUUUUCAUUUAAUUUGGUUUUUUCUUUUAUCCUACUCUUCAGCCAAAAAGUGGGGGAAAGGCUCUUGGAAUAGCUUACAAAUCCCAAUCUGAAAAGACAAAACACAAAAGGAAAAUGGAUUGGGAGGGAGAAGGAAAUAAGUAAACACACUGUAUUAGAUACCAACUGUGCAGAAUUCUCCUGGGCUGGCAAGAGUUAAAAUGAGGAAAACACAGGCUGCUUCACUCAGAAAGCCAUUUUCUUAAUUAUUUUAGUUUAACACUCAAGUCAGGGUGUGCAGAGGUGGGAAUUCAUGUGUAAUCUAAAACCCCCUGACUUGGGGACAGCAUCAGGCUGAGAAAACAUUAGUGGUACGAUUUCCAUUACAUUAAAAAUUAUUCCUAUUAGGCCAGCCCUGUGGGCAUUACAUUCUGUCCGCUCCCUUCCACUGUUACAUCCGUUGAUGUCAUUAUCAUGCUUUAGGAGUAUAACGUUACCAUUUUAUCACAGAAACCUUAAACACUUACAUCCAAAUCACCGAAUCGAGUUAUUACCCGAGAUGACCAAAUCUCAGUCUAUUAUCAUUUGAUUUUUUUCCAUUUAAAGAACAGUGACAAACACCGGCGACUCCAUUUUAUUUAACAUGAGCAGGAGACGGAUGUGGUUUAGAGAUGCAUAAAGCUUGCAAAGGUGUGAGACAGUGGGCUGUAUCAAGCUGAGCAUACCCAUGAGCAUACCCAUGGAAAUCAAUGGACAAGACUAACUUGAGCCCAUGGAUUUCAAUGGGUCUGCUCUGAGCACGAUUUGGUUAGAUGCAAUGUUGUGAUUUCUGUUAAGGAUGUAGAUGUGCCAGAAUUCACUUAAAGCAGCAAUAAGAGAUGUGCAUUCAUACACAUCUUGCUGGGCACAUCAACAAUUGGGGUUGAGAUAUUCCCCCCUCCAAAAAAAAAAGGAUGUAUUGCUUUAAAAAAAUGUUAUCAAGUGCUUCCUUGACUGCUGGAGGAUGUCAGUCCUCCUGGAAAGGCCAUGGCUCAGUGGAAGAGCAUCUGGUUUGCAUGUGUAAGAUCCCAGAUUCAAUGUCUGGCAUCUCCUUUUAGGGCUAGGAAUGCCCCCUGCCUUAAACCCUGGAGAAUUUCUGGGUUCUCCACUGUAGACCAGGGAUAGAAAGGGGAAACUGUUGCCCUCCAGAAUUGGAUUCCAACUCCCAUCAGCCUCAGCCUGCAUGAUCAAUGGUCAGGGAUGAUGGGAGUUGAAGGCUAAACACAUCUGGAGGGUCACAAAUCUCCCAUCCCUGGUGCAGACGAUACGGAGCUAGAUGGACCAAUGGUUUGACUUGGUGUGGGGUGAGUAAGAAGCAAAAUGAUAGAGGUUUAUAAAACUAUGCAUGGCAUGGAGAAAGUGGCUAGAGAAAAAUUAUUCUCCUUCUCUCUUAGCAACAGAACAGCCCAUGAAGUUGAAUCAAAAACACCACACAAUUAAACUAUUGAACUCACUCCCAUGGCAGGCAGUGCUGGUCACCAACUUGGAUGGCUUCCAAAGAAGACAGGACAAUGCAUGGAGGAGGAGGCUAUCAGUGGUCACCAGCCAUGAUGGAUAUGCUCUGUCUCCACAGUUGGAGGCAGCAGUGCUUCUGAAUACCAGUUGUUGGAAACGAAGUUUGUUCUGGGUAUAAGCUUUCGUGUGCAUGGUAUCUGAAGAAGUUUGCAUGCACACGAAAUCUUAUACCCAGAACAAACUUAGUUGGUCUCUAAGGUGCUACUGGACAAUUUUUUAAUUUUUAUUUAUUUCAUUUAAGAAUAUUUAUUCUAUAUUUGAGACCUUAAAAUUCUUAUAACAACCCCCGUUUGAGGCUAUAAUUUUAUUUAAAAUUGUUGCCCCAUCCAACAACCUGAUGUCCACUCUUCCCUGAUGUUAUAACUGGAUGUGUUUAUGUAACCCUGAAGAGACUUGCAUGUCAGGCCUCUUAAGGCUGUUUGUAAGUGUAGCAGUGCCCAUAGCUGGAUAUAGGAUGCUGUAUCAUAUAAAAUAAUCUUGUUUUGUUUGGUUGUUGAAUUAUUUGUGACAUUCUAACACUUUGUGAAGGGACGUGGGUGGUGCUGUGGGUAAAACCUCAGUGCCUAGGACUUGCCGAUCGUAUGGUCAGCGGUUCGAAUCCCCGCAGCGGGGUGAGCUCCCGUCUUUCGGUCCCAGCUCCUGCCCCCUAGCAGUUCGAAAGCACCCCUAAGUGCAAGUAGAUAAAUAGGUACCGCUUUAUAGCAGGAAGGUAAACGGCGUUUCCGUGUGCUGCGCUGGUGCUGGCUCGCCAGAACAGCUUCGUCACGCUGGCCACGUGACCCGGAAGUGUCUCUGGACAGCGCUGGCCCCCGGCCUCUUAAGUGAGAUGGGCGCACAACCCUAGAGUCGGACACGACUGGCCCGUACAGGCAGGGGUACCUUUACUUAACACUUUGUGAGAAGCCUUCUCUCCCUUUUUACUUUAAAAAUGAGGGUUUACGAUCUACACUUAGCAGGAAGGUCCAUUUAAAAUGAAAUACGUAGUUGUUUUGCUUCUGCUUUUUUUGUGUUCUUGGGUAUCAAAGAUAGCCUCCUGGCCCUGCUCCUCCAGUAUGCCACAGCAACAUUCCCCAGUAUGAAUCUCUGCUUUCGUUGACCAUAAGCAAUAUCCCACAUGGCUAGGUUGCCCAUCUUUAGGGAUUUACUAUGGCUUUGGUCUUGCACUCAAGGGGUGAGUUGCUCUUCUUAGAGGUUCACCUAUCCUGUUUGAAGGGAAAGAUGGUCAGGACGCAGGCCUGUUAUAGCUUCUGGGGUUGAGGAGGUAUGUGAGCCUCACCUGUCCUGAGUCUACUCCAGCUGAGGAAUCACACAACUCCUCCCCAAGCUAGUGAGCCCCACCUGGGCUGUGGGUCCUUGCCUUCCUUUGCUCCAAACGGACAGCUGUUAGUUCUGGGAUCCUGCUGAUUGUGGAAAAGCAGUGCUAGAACUGGUCCCUGAAAGAGCUUGCAAGAUCUCUCCCAAAUCUCAAGAGAUAUUUUGCUCUCCUAGACAUCUCUCAACAAACCUGAACAAAAGUGUGCAGGAACCUUUAAAGACUUUCGACUGCAUCAGACCAACACGGCUGCCUACCUGAAUCUAUUUAUAAAUGCACACAUAUCUAAAUAUAUAAACCACAUGUCUGAAAUAGUACAGGAGAGCAAUCCUGAAGCCAUUCUGACUCUCCCGAUGACUUCAAAUAUUCCUCUGCAGUAAGGGAGGCAAAUGGGGAAAGCCUUCCCAUGGUCUUUUCACUUACAAAUGCUGUCUUAAGGGCAUAGUUGUGUAUGAAUAUACAACUGGCCAGGACGCAGGCCUCCUAUGAUGCAUGUAUGAUGAUUUUCGGGUGGUCUUUGGCUAAGGGGGCUCGGCAAUGUCAAAGUCUUUAAAGGUUCCUGCACACUUUUGUUCAGGGUCUCUCCCUCCUUGGAAGGAUGAGAGGGAACUCUGUUGCAACAGAAAAAUAAAUACCUGCCUUGCUUUCUGCUGUAUCCUGUCUCCAUCCAUUCUUCUCUGACCGAUCAUGGACUUAGGGAACUCAGAGUCCCAUUGGGGAGUUGGGCAGCAAAAGCCAAACUAUUUUUUACAUCACUACCACUACAGCAAACUUGAAAUGUUUCUCUCCUACUGCAAUUCCAACACCUCUCCUUUAAAAAAAAAUAAAAAAAUCCUGUGAUCAAGUCCUUAUUUCAUUGCAACAAAAUGGUCUCCUCUUCUAGAAUUCCUCAUUGUGUUGGGUUCACUGGAGUCCACACACCAUCUCAGAAAGGUGGCAAAUGAACCAAUCAUGUUCUGGCACGUGCACAGAGUCUCCCUAGCAACAAAGAUGGCAGCUUUGUAACAGCAGCAGCUGCUUAAUCGGGGAGUGGGGGGGGGGGAUACAUGCUCUCAUCUGAAGAAUAAUGCAUGAUGGAGCCCUAUUCAUUACCUGUUUGCAAAGAGUAAUACACAAAUGCGCAAUGAAGUCAGACAUUUUACAGGCAUAAGUUAAGAAGUUUUUGGAAGUGUGUGGGGGGGACUUUUAAUAGUAAUGCCUCAUCUCUAAAUUGCCACAGUCCCAUCUCUCGCAGUUUGAGGUUGGGAAGAAAUGGUUCCUUUCUGCAUGUAGAAUGGCAGGGGAAAAACACCUCAACCCCUAUGUGUUAGAUAACAGUGCUUCCGCCAGGAACUUGUUCAAUGAAAAAAGUGGCACAUUUUGAAUUUUGCACUGUGAAGUAGCCCUAUUAAUAGGUAACAAAGGAGAGCCCUGCAAGAUCAGACCAAAGGCCCAUUUAGUCCAAUAUUCUGUUCUCAAAGUGACCAAGCAGAUGACUCUGGAAAGCCUGCAAGUGGGACAUGAGUGGAGCAGCAAUUCUCCCCACUAGUGACUCCCAGCCGCCAACAUUCCAAGGAAAUCCUGUGUCCUAAGUCCAUGGGAGUUGUUGUAGUUUAUAAGAACAUAAGAAGAGCCUGCUGGAUGAGGCCAAAGACCCAUCUAGACCAGCAUUCUGUUCUGGGGGCAGAUCUAUACUAUGAAACUAAUGAAGCUUAAGCUUCAGGAUCCCUAAUCUCAGAGGUGCCCCAGGAGCAACUUUAGUCCAUGUUGCAUUACAAAAAUGGGUCAAAUUUAGUUUUGACUAAAGUGCAAGCAUAAGGGACGUGGGUGGCGCUGUGGGUUAAGCCACAGAGCCUAGGACUUGCCAAUCAGAAAGUCGGCAGUUCAAAUCCCCACGACGGGGUGAGCUCCUGUUGCUCUGUCCCUGCUCCUGCCAACCUAGCAGUUCAAAAGCCCAUCAAAGUGCAAGUAGAUAAAUAGGUACCACUCCAGCGGGAAGGUAAACGGCAUUUCCGUGUGUUGCUCUGGUUCGCCAGAAGUGGCUUAGUCAUGCUGGCCACAUGACCCGGAAGCUGUACAUCGGCUCCCUCGGCCAAUAAAGCGAGAUGAGCUCCGCAACCCGAGAGUCGGUCACGACAGGACCUAACGGUCAGGGGUCCCUUUACCUUUUAAAGUGCAAGCAUAAGCAAUCGUCUCUAAUAUAAUGCUUUUGUGUCUGCUGUUUUCAGGAAUAUGUUCAAUUUUACACACACUUUCCCCACACUUCCACCAUGAUGCAUGACGUCGUGUGCAUUUAUCACUUUUGGUUCCUCUUCAUUUCCCACCCUUAAGUUCAAUUCUCCAAAUUGUCAGUUUGCUUUUUUAAAAAAAAUGUCCUCAUGAAAAUUUAUUAGCAUUUCAGUGCAAAUUUCUCCACAUAUACACAUUUCCAUAUGCAAUUUGGCCUAAUAUAUCCAGUCCCCUCCCCCAAUUUGAGUCUAUGUCAUUUUUGCUAAUAUAUUCAUUUUUAUGCACACUGUUCCCUAAGACAUGCAUUUUUUUCUCCUAAAGGUUGGUUGGAGAAGCGCAGCACAAAAUUUCAGUAAGAGUGGAUCUGGAAGGACAGCUGUGCUUUGGUUCCCCAGAAAGUUUGACAUUGCUAACAUUUGGUGCUUAAAAUCCAAUUUCUCCUUCAUCCAGACUUGGAACUGCCCAUCAACAGCACUUGGAGAGCAGACUGAAAGGCCCACAGGUCAGUUGGUCACAGCCUUCCUUAGUAUGGCGAGGAGUCUUGCAUUUCUAUCCUGAUGAUCACAAUUAUUUCUAAAUGUGCAUCUAUACAUAUAAAUUAGC